rnacentral:rRNA from 1 species
CCCUUAGAUGUCCUGGGCCGCACGCGCGUUACACUGAUGCAUUCAACGAGCUUAUAACCUUGGCCGAGAGGCCUGGGCAAUCUUGUUAACGUGCAUCGUGAUAGGGAUAGAUUAUUGAAAUUAUUAAUCUUGAACGAGGAAUUCCUAGUAAACGCAGAUCAUCAAUCUGCAUUGAUUACGUCCCUGCCCUUUGUACACACCGCCUGUCGCACCUACCGAUUGGAUGGUCCGGUGAAGCCUCGGGAUUGUGGUUCUUGCCGCUUUAUUGUGGCGUGACCGCGAGAACUUGUCUAAACCUUAUCAUCUAGAGGAAGGUGAAGUCGUAACA